GAGUUAGUAGCUUAAUUGGCAAAGUGCUUUCUUGUCGAGAAGGAUGAUGCCGGAUCAUAACCGGUCUAACUCG
rnacentral:tRNA from 1 species